rnacentral:rRNA from 1 species
UACGUAGGGUGCGAGCGUUGUCCGGAUUUAUUGGGCGUAAAGGGCUCGUAGGUGGUUGAUCGCGUCGGAAGUGUAAUCUUGGGGCUUAACCCUGAGCGUGCUUUCGAUACGGGUUGACUUGAGGAAGGUAGGGGAGAAUGGAAUUCCUGGUGGAGCGGUGGAAUGCGCAGAUAUCAGGAGGAACACCAGUGGCGAAGGCGGUUCUCUGGGCCUUUCCUGACGCUGAGGAGCGAAAGCGUGGGGAGCGAACAGGCUUAGAUACCCUGGUAGUCCACGCUGUAAACGGUGGGUACUAGGUGUGGGGUCCAUUCCACGGGUUCCGCGCCGUAGCUAACGCUUUAAGUACCCCGCCUGGGGAGUACGGCCGCAAGGCUAAAACUCAAAGGAAUUGACGGGGCCCCGCACAAGCGGCGGAGCAUGCGGAUUAAUUCGAUGCAACGCGUAGAACCUUACCUGGGUUUGACAUGGAUCGGGAGUGCUCAGAGAUGGGUGUGCCUCUUUUGGGGUCGGUUCACAGGUGGUGCAUGGCUGUCGUCAGCUCGUGUCGUGAGAUGUUGGGUUAAGUCCCGCAACGAGCGCAACCCUUGUUCACUGUUGCCAGCACGUUAUGGUGGGGACUCAGUGGAGACCGCCGGGGUCAACUCGGAGGAAGGUGGGGAUGACGUCAAGUCAUCAUGCCCCUUAUGUCCAGGGCUUCACGCAUGCUACAAUGGCUGGUACAGAGAGUGGCGAGCCUGUGAGGGUGAGCGAAUCUCGGAAAGCCGGUCUCAGUUCGGAUUGGGGUCUGCAACUCGACCUCAUGAAGUCGGAGUCGCUAGUAAUCGCAGAUCAGCAACGCUGCGGUGAAUACGUUCCCGGGGCU